rnacentral:lncRNA from 1 species
GUAAAUUCAAAUCGUAUGAAUAAUAUUGGCGAACAAAAAAAGUAUCACAUUAUGUCGUCGGACAAUUGUAAGAUGCUAUAAGAUAGACUAAAAAUGUAUCGAAAAUAUAGCACAAAAGAAAUCAUGAAAUAACUCAGUGCAAUCCCAAUUUAAGAUGCAAACACAUCAAAAGAAAAACAAAAUAACACCAUAUCUCCACAUGACACAAAACAAAAAACCAACUGCAAUCAGCAAAUAAGACGCAAAGAGUCACAAGAAAUUAAAAAAAAAAUCCAUUCGCGGGCAACUACCGACUUAUUAUACUGUAUGAUCGAACACAAACAUAGCCAAAAUAUGACACUCAAGAAAUAAGACGCAAACUACAUUACAAGAAUUGUAAGAUCAAUAAAUGAUGUAUAAAAAAUAAUUCCGAACGACAAUUGGUUAACACAAACAAAAGGAAUACAACGAUAUAAAUCUAUGCUACCCAA